rnacentral:rRNA from 1 species
CACGUAGGGGACGAGCGUUGUCCGGAUUCAUUGGGCGUAAAGCGCGCGUAGGCGGCUCGGAAGUCGGUCGUGAAAUGCCGGGCUCAACCCGGGACUGCGUCCGAUACUCCCGAGCUGGAGGCAGGUAGGGGAGAUCGGAAUUCCUGGUGUAGCGGUGAAAUGCGCAGAGUAUCAAGGAGGAACACCGAUGGCGAAGGCAGCCUCCUGGGCCGAGCACGUGACGCUCAUGCACGAA